rnacentral:rRNA from 1 species
CCCUUAGAUGUUCUGGGCCGCACGCGCGCUACACUGACUGGUGCAACAAGUGUCGCUCCUUGGCCGAUAGGCCUGGGCAAUCUUUGAACGCCAGUCGUGAUGGGGAUAGAUUCUUGCAAUUUUUGAUCUUCAACGAGGAAUUCCUAGUAAACGCGAGUCAUCAACUCGCAUUGAUUACGUCCCUGCCCUUUGUACACACCGCCCGUCGCACCUACCGAUUGAAUGGUCCGGUGAGGACUUCGGACUGGGACCGAUGCGGCUUUCGGGCUGCGUCGGUAUUCUGGAAAGAUGUCCAAACUGUAUCAUUUAGAGGAAGUAAAAGUCGUANCA